rnacentral:rRNA from 1 species
UACGUAGGUGGCAAGCGUUAUCCGGAUUUAUUGGGUUUAAAGGGUGCGUAGGCGGUUCUAUAAGUCAGUGGUUAAAGGUAGCAGCUUAACUGUUUUACAUGCCACUGAUACUGCAGAACUUGAGUUGACAGAAGACAGAUAGAAUUUCUGGUGUAGCGGUGAAAUGCUUAGAUACCGGAAGGAAUACCGAUUGCGAAGGCAGUCUGCUGCAGUCACACUGACGCUGAGGCACGAAAGUGCGGGGAUCGAACAGG